AUUGAACGCUGGCGGCGUGCUUAACACAUGCAAGUCGAUCGGUAACAGGUGUAGCAAUACAUGCUGACGAGAGGCGGACGGGUGAGGAAUAUUUGGGAAUCUGCCCAUCAGCGGGGGACAACCCGGGGAAACUCGGGCUAAUACCGCAUACGCUCUACGGAGGAAAGCCGGGGACCGCAAGGCCUGGCACUGAUGGAUGAGCCCAAAUCGGAUUAGCUAGUUGGCGGGGUAACGGCCCACCAAGGCGACGAUCCGUAGCUGGUCUGAGAGGACGAUCAGCCACACCGGAACUGAGACACGGUCCGGACUACUACGGGAGGCAGCAGUGGGGAAUAUUGGACAAUGGGGGAAACCCUGAUCCAGCGACGCCGCGUGGGUGAAGAAGGCCUGCGGGUUGUAAAGCCCUUUCGGUAGGGAAGAAAUCUCUUGUCUUAACACGGCAAGGGUUUGACUUAACCUACAUAAGAAGCACCGGCUAACUCUGUGCCAGCAGCCGCCGCGGUA
rnacentral:rRNA from 1 species